GGCGACGCACCUGGGCUGCUCUGCUGGCAGCCCCUGGUUCCUGCUUCACCGUCGCGUGGAGGCCUGGGGCACUGCUUUCUGCUACACCUCUCCUAGGAGCGCGAAACAGAUGGAGUGACACUCGUCGAGGGCCUCUGCGGGACUGUCUGUUUGCAGAGGGUGCCAAGGUGUCCACUGCGUAAGGAAGGGCAAAGUCCUUUGGGGCAAAGAACCCUGAGAGGAACGGGGAGAUGGAUUUUGAAAGCAAACGAACCCUCUCCUAAAAGUGACUGUCACUGACCUGAAAACAACCAGAUUAGCUAUGGCAAAGGCUGCCAACCAACCAGUGGUCUGCAAGAAGGCUUGUUCUUCCACUUCACCCACCCUGACUGAGAUCUUGAGACUGAAGGAAACCCAAAGCCGUACCACCAAUGGGCCUAGUGUCAUCAACCGGGAGAGGAAAAAGAAAACUGGGCCCAGAGGAUUGCAGAGUUAUGAGGGACCAACCCCUUCCUGGCUGCAUGGAUCACAGCAUUACCUUUUAAAAGUGUUCCAGUAGCUGUGUUGGAAACCCUCUAACCACGGCAGCCCAUUCAGCCAUGUAAGCAAGUACCUUUCACCUCCCGCCAUGAUUCUGAGGCCUCCCCCGCCAUGUGGAACUGUAGGUCCAAUUAAACUUCUUUUUCUUCCCAGUCUCGGGUAUGUCUUUAUCAGCACCAUGAAAAUGGACUAAUACAGGUGCCAUGUACUGCACUCAUAUAGAAAGGCAAACUUAAUUAAUAAAUGUUAUGUGUGUUCUGACUACUCCACCAACUGCCCAUUUCCCCACACUUCUCCCCCUUGGGCCUCCCUAUUUCCCAAUAAACAGCAAUAUUGAAAUUAG
rnacentral:lncRNA from 1 species